CACAAGCAAGCUUCCUAGAAGGCAAAGAGCCGUUUGGAAAGGGAGUAAAAAUACUCUCAAGUUUUUGUCAGAUUUUAGGAAGGGAAGAAUUAAGAAAUCUGUGAACCCUCGCUCCCUCUCUGUACUCUCACGAACCCUCUCUCUCUCAACUCUCUCUCAUGUUUCUGAAGUGCCAUCUCCUUCGCGCCGUCUAGGACACUGAACUCAUCGAGAUCACCAUCUCCGUCUUGCUGUUCAGGUCACCGAGCUCGCCGAGGUCACCAUCUCCCUCACGCUCUCCAUGUCACCGAGCUCUCUGAGCUCGCCAUCUCCCUCGUGUUACUUCUCUAGCCAAAUUCGUGUCUUAGAGUUCUGUUGCAGGUUUCGUUGAACAUCUUCAAGUUAACAUCUCGAUUGUCUCCAAGCAAGAGGAGAGAGAUGGAUGUCAUGAAGUUGUCUUUAUGAAGGUGGGGUUUGGAAAAUCAGCGUUGAGCUUCCCGUCCCGGUGCUAUACAUAUAAAUCUUCUUACUAAUGGCUUAAUGAACAAGAUUUUCCACCCAAAUGUUGAUGAGCUAUGUGUAUUCAAAACCAACAAUGAAGAAUGGUUUAAAUCAGCAAAACCAAAGCUAGGGCCUGAUGCAUCAAAUCGUGUUCGUGCAGCAAUUGACUCUACACAUGAAAACAUGAAAACCCUUAUAUAAAGUAAGGACUAAGAUGAGAGGUGCCCUUCAAAUUCUCUUAAAGAAGGACCUGAUGUUGCUGAUAUUGUUACAAGGGAAAGGAAUACAACAACUUGGAAAAUGUGCAAGAAGGCAGAGCUAAGUCAACCCAAGAACAAAU